rnacentral:rRNA from 1 species
AUUGAACGCUGGCGGCAGGCCUAACACAUGUAAGUCGAACGAGUGGCGGACGGGUGAGUAAUGUCUGGGAAACUGCCUGAUGGAGGGGGAUAACUACUGGAAACGGUAGCUAAUACCGCAUACCAUCAGAUGUGCCCAGAUGGGCUUAGGUUGUGUGUGGGGUAACGGCUCACCAAGGCGACGAUCCCUAGCUGGUCUGCGAGGUUGACCAGCCACACUGGAACUGACAAACGGUCCAGACUCCUAGUGGAGGCAGCAGUGGGGAAUAUUGCACACUGGGAGCAAGCCUGAGGCAGCCAUGCUGCGUGUAUGAAGGAGGCCGUCGGGUUGUAAAGUACUUUCAGCGGGGAGGCGUUACCCGCAUAAGAAGCACCGGCUAACUCCGUGCCAGCAGCGGCGGUAAUUC